UUAAAGCAAACGCCUGAUACAAUUUCUUCGGAGCUAAAACUGCACAGAAGUUGCCAAUUCCUGUAUUUGUUUUCUUACAAGAAACUUGAAGCAGGCAUUUUCCACUGUUAACAAUUUUUAUGUUCUAUCAAGUAAUCUUUUUUUUUGGUCAGAAAAAUUUUUUGGUGACUAUGAUUGCUAACAUAAUCUUAGAAAAUAUUUGAACAGGCAAUUCUGAAGUUUUUCCAGAGACUUGUUGGUGUUAUAGAGACCAAGUGAGAUGAUCCCAUCAUCAAAAUGCAUGUGAAGAAAGGAAGAGUGAAGGAAUCCGUAACUCCAUGAGAGCUGCAUGGACAACUCAUGUCACUUCUGCCACCCUGCAGAAUGCCAUGUCUCACUGCCAAUGCUUGGAAGCACUGACUGCUGGCUUCUGCAGGACUGGAAGGAAAGGAAGACCUGGACACAUUGACUACAUCUAAACUAUUAAACAAAAUUAGUCAGAGAAUUUUCCUGGAGGCCAGCUGGCAUUAAAGAGUUUGAAUCCAUGCAGCUAAAUUCUCUUGCCCUUCAAAUCAUGGUGGCCACAUCCAAAAUAUCUAUUGGAGGUGGUGCCUGACCUGGGCAAUACCCAAGCUGUGCUUUGGCAUUGUCUGGAAGAGCAUUAGCAGGCUUGCACCAAAAGCAUGCCAGGGACCAGUUUAGUAGUAUGGAUGGUUUCAGGUCCAUGCCUUGCUGGUCUUGUGUAGUUUAUUUAGUGUCAGAGGCAAACCUCAGUAAUUCUGCCAGGAGUCAACAGGAAACCCCUUCUGGCCUCAGUGGCCAGAAUCUGCUGAGAAGUAUAAUCAUUGGGUUGUUCACCUCCUUCACAUUUGGAUUCUUUUUUUCAUUUUAUUGUUUACUAAAUGGGCACUGAAAAUUUUUGAAGUAAUAAAGUUGGGUUGUUGCCUGCACAAAACUUGUUAGUUUUGAAUUACCAAGAGAUUUUUCACACAAGCUGAGCUUCUGAAGCCAGCUUCAGCUCUCCUCCCUGAUGAAGGAUCUCCUAUGGCUUUGAGCAAGUUGCUAAGAGCCUGUGUGGCAAGCACCCUGUUUGGAUAUAGGGUUAAAAAGCAAUGAGGUGUAGAGAUACAAGCACACCAGGUGCUUGAGGUCACAUAAGCAUGCUAAACUGGUGUGAACAUAAAACUCCCCUUGAUUUCUGUGGCAACUUAUUUCACAUGUCUGGGAAGGCAAUUUAUUUUAAACUCUGCAAAAAGGAUAUGAGUAUGUUGUUAUAUCAGGAUCUUUUCAAAGUCAGGCUUUGGAUAAGCCUGAUACAUCCUUCAUACAGUGUGAGGUAGCUUGGAGAGCUCGUGCUCUGUGUUUCUAGAGCUAACUCUGUGCAUGGCACCCCAAUUAUCCCAUGGAACACUGAACUUCACACUACUGUGAGAUACUUCUGCCUGCAGCAAUAUAAAUCAGAAUCAGGCAAUUAAUGCCUGAAUCUUUUUCUCUGUUCUGAAGAUAAAUGGCAGUGAAGGCCGAGUAGUUUUAAAAAGCUCAUCAUACAAAAUUAUUAUAUUAGGCCAUGCUGUAUUAGUGAGAUUACAGAAAAUUAUCUACGUGUAUUGAAUUACACCAUGAUUUUCCAAUGAUCUCAGCAGCAGCAGCAGAACUGGGACAAUUUAAUCAUUGCUUUAUCAGUUUGGUAGGUAACUACUAUCCUGAAUUGCUGCUCAGAAUGAAAAAAUUGUAUUGUUUUAUCCAGAAACUAGCCCUUAUUUAACUUCCAGCACCAGCCCUUACUUUUCAUAGACCUCAGGUGUAUGUUUGAAUUUCUGAAGCUGACAGAUUCUAUUUCAACAACAUUUAAAGCAAUGCAUAUUUUGCCUCAGGUUUGUUACAGGAUGAGUGUUAAUAAUGUUAAUUAAUAGUGUUAAUUGACAUGGUCAUCUGGUGUACAGCACCGUGCUGAACUAUCAGAACUUGAUUGUGUGCUUUUACCCAGUGCUCCUUUUUGGGUACAAAGUCUGUUUCAUAAUUGAUCUGCUCAUGGAUCAGUCUCAUAAAGGAGGUUAUAGAGCCCUGCACAUACAUAGUCAUACCUGGCCCAGGCUGUGCAAAUCUUAUUUAAUGAAAAUGUUCUGAAGCAAAGAAUCGAGUUGUUGCCCAGAAUGGUAUAUUCAGAAAUUGGUAUUUUUCCUCUGAGCUGGAUUUUGAAAAGCAGGAAAUUUGGUAAAGCAGAGGAGGAACAUUUAACCUUAUCUAAUUUUGCCUCCCUUUUCCUUCCCUUUUCUGUCUUGCCCCUCAAUCUCCAAGCACUCUCCCAUGGUUGCUUGCAUAUGGCAGUGGCUCUACUCAGACCUACAGAGACCAGUGCAUCAGUUAAGGUUUGUAAGGCCAUAAUGUGUUUAUUUUUGCAGUCUGAUCUUGUGAGAAACUGAAGAGGUCUUGCAUGUCCCCCCUACUGAUAACGGUGGUGUUGAAAGAGCUCAGUGCAUUCCAGGGCAAAGCCUUGGAGGCUGUGGGUUAGAGAGCUGCUGACUCUCCUUUGGAAGUACAUGCAGAUUCCUUUGGCCUUCACUGGGUGAAAACCUGGCUCUCCACUAAAGAAAAAACCAAACAACAAAAACCUGAGAUACAAACCCCCAACACAAUAGUUGUGGUGGUCCAAAUAAAACACAAAAACCCCAGUCUCAGCCCAAGCACCCAGCCUG